rnacentral:rRNA from 1 species
AUUGAACGCUGGCGGCAGGCCUAACACAUGCAAGUCGAACGAGUGGCGGACGGGUGAGUAAUGUCUGGGAAACUGCCUGAUGGAGGGGGAUAACUACUGGAAAAGGUAGCUAAUACCGCAUACCACCAAUUGUGCCCUGAUGGGAUUAGCUUGUGGGGGGGGUAACGGCUCAACAAGUCGAAGAUCCCUAGCUGGUCUGAGAGGAUGUCCAGCCACACUGGAACUGAGACACGGUCAAGACUCCUACGGGAGUCAGCAGUGGGGAAUAUUGCACAAUGGGCGCAAGCCUGAUGCAGCCAUGCCGCGUGUAUGAAGAAGGCCUUCGGGUUGUAAAGUACUUUCAGCGGGGAGGCGUUACCCGCAGAAGAAGCACCGGCUAACUCCGUGCCAGCAGCCGCGGUAAUUC